UCGGGAAUUUUGGGCAAUGGGCGAAAGCCUGACCCAGCAACGCCGCGUGAAGGAUGAAGUAUUUCGGUAUGUAAACUUCGUAAGAAUGGGAAGAAUAAAUGACGGUACUAUUUGUAAGGUCCGGCUAACUACGUGCCAGCAGCCGCGGUAAUACGUAGGGACCAAGCGUUGUUCGGAUUUACUGGGCGUAAAGGGCGCGUAGGCGGCGUGGUAAGUCAUCUGUGAAAUCUCCGAGCUUAACUCGGAACGGUCAGAUGAUACUGCUGCGCUAGAGUACAGAAAGGGCAAUCGGAAUUCUUGGUGUAGCGGUGAAAUGCGUAGAUAUCAAGAGGAACACCUGAGGCGAAGGCGGUUGCUGGGCUGAUACUGACGCUGAGGCGCGAAAGCUAGGGUAGCAAACGGGAUUAGAUACCCAAGUAGUCCCUGAGCGGGCUGGCAAGGCGCAU
rnacentral:rRNA from 1 species